rnacentral:rRNA from 1 species
UACCUGGUUGAUCCUGCCAGUAGUCAUAUGCUUGUCUCAAAGAUUAAGCCAUGCAUGUCUAAGUACAAGCCUCACUAAGGUGAAACCGCGAAUGGCUCAUUAAAUCACACCUAAUCUACUGGAUAGUUAACAGUUACUUGGAUAACUGCGGUAAUUCUGGAGCUAAUACAUGCACAAAGCCCCGAACUUACGUGAGGGGCGCUUUUAUUAGAUCAAAACCAAACGGCUUCGGCUGUACUCUUGGUGACUCUGAAUAACUUUGGGCUGAUCGUACGGCCUAGCGCCGACGACAUAUCCUUCGAAGGUGUGCCCUAUCAACUGUCGACUGUGGCAUAGACGCCCACAGUGGUUUUGACGGGUAACGGGGAAUCAGGGUUCGAUUCCGGAGAGGGAGCCUUAAAAACGGCUACCACAUCUAAGGAAGGCAGCAGGCACGCAAAUUACCCAAUGACCGAAGGUCGAGGUAGUGACAAAAAAUAACGAUACGGGACUCAUCUGAGGCCCCGUAAUCGGAAUGAGUACACUUUAAAACCGUCCCCGAGGAUCUAUUGGAGGGCAAGUCUGGUGCCAGCAGCCGCGGUAAUUCCAGCUCCAAUAGC